GUUUGCUAAUGAAUUCAUAUGUGACCUGUUGAAUUUGAUGUAUCUUUUGGACUUGUAGGUGAAGAAGUCACAUGUGGUGAAUAUAUUAUCAUCAGAAUGCGGAGCAAUGAAAUGUAAACAGAUAGGAAUCGUCACUAAAGCUCCAACUGCAGCCUCCGGGUGCCAUAGCUUUUGCACCAUCCAUUUGCACCAUCUCUGCAUUGCUCUCAAUCACUGCCACGAGUCUGGUGAUGCGCUAAGCUCGGGGCAGGAUCUCAAGGGCUUUGAGGAUGUCUGCAUCAUCUGUAUUGACCUGCUCCCCAGAUUAAUACCGAAGCACUGCAAUUUCUUGAGGAUUAUCCACCUAGGAGGAAAUGAUACGCUGGCCCAUCCAUAGUAGUCAAGAAACAGUCUGAGAUCCAAAAAGUGGCUUAAAAGAGGGAAAAGUUAAUCAAAAUGUCUGUGAAGCUCUGGCUUCAGUCUCUCCAGCGAGGCUUUCUGAAGCACAGCUCUGAUAGAACUAAACCCAAUGAGACACCGCCUACAAGAGGAAUCCAGCGUGUGAACGAAGACUAAAAAGCAAAACAGCAGCGUCUGGAGUGGACAGCUUCUCUCACUCAGAGAACUGUAGCCUCAAAUUCCUGGCAGAGGGAACCACCAUCUCAGAUGGUAGAAACCACUCAGAAGGAUCAACUGCUGCAGACGGGAAGAGGAGCAACCUCGUGAAUAAUUUCGUGACAGGAUAUUGCAGGAGGGACUUUGUCCAAAUGUGUGCAGGGUAGUUGGCUACAGCAACAAGGAUGACGAACACAGAUGAAUUGAUCAGGAUGUAACCAUUCAAAGUUGAGAGGAUUAGAGGACUUCUCCGAGGCGGCUCCAAUGGAUGCCAGCAGAGUUAAAGUGUCCAAUGGAGAGAAGAGAAGGCUUGGGAAAUCCAGAGUCCAUUCAUUCAUCGCCCUCCUCCUAGAACAACAAAAGCGAGCCCCAGUACUCAUCAGCAUGGACUCUGUGUGUAGUCAUCUCCCUUAGUUUCAGAGGUUCCUGCCUACAGCAAAACUUUAGAGGCUUAGAGUUUAACGGUCAUAGCUUAUUCACCUCCAACUGUGUCCUAGUUCAAGAGAAACACUUCACAUAUCUGUAGGGAGAAGAUAAUGAACCAAGGAUACAAGUUAAGCCUUAGCUAAGACCUGUUACUCAGGAAAAAGAGCUAAAACAAGCUGCUUAGAUCAGCACCAAUGUUAGGUAGAGAGAAAAAGAAACGCUGCAUAGAAAUCUUAAGGUUCACAUGUGCUCCAGGCUGGGUCAACAACUUCUAAUUUCCUUUGCCAACCAACCAUGUCUUUGACAGAAAUGAUCCUUCUACAUAGACCACAGAGGGAUCCAAUGGAGGUUUCUCUUCCUGAAUUUGGGGAUUCAGAAUCUGGACAAAUUCCUUUCCAUCAAAGUCCAGUACAAAAGUAGUACCAUGGCAGUCCCUGCAGGGACUUGCAUCACUUUCCCUAGAGAUAUCAAGAGAAUUUUUAGUGAUAAGAAUAUGGCACAAAAUGAGAAAUCCCAUUACUCUUAAGAGAAUCUCUUCCUUCUCAAAGGCACCUGAUUAAUACAUAUAGUACUAUCAGUAAGGCUGAGCAAAAGGAUACUGAUGUUCUGAGUGAUCUUAAAUCAUGUAAUAAUAACUUUAUUCGUAGUAUAGAACGGAAUAUUCCCUAUUAGUAAUCAGUUCCUUUGCCAGAUCCUCAUAGUAUCUUAGUCACUGUUUUAUUGUUAUGAAGAGAAACUUUGACCACAGCACCUCUUAGAAAAAAGGAAGCAUUUAAUCGGGACUUCCUUAUGGUUUCACAGUUUUACAUAAUUGUCAACAUGGCAGAGAACAUGGGGGCACGCAAACAGACAUGGUGCUGGAGAAGUAGCGGAGAAUAUACAGCAACAUAUAGAUACAAAAUAUAGAUACAUAUAGAUACAGAAUAUAGAUACAUAUAGCUACAUAUAGAUCUGCAGGCAGCAGGAAGAGACUGGGACAAGGCCAUACCUUCUAAGGCUUCUCAAGGAGUGUCACUUCCUGAUGACCAAGCAUUCAAGUGUAUGAGCUUAUGGGAGCCAUUCUUAUUCAAGCCACCACACAUAGCAAAGCUGAUAAUGUCAUUUUCUGAAUUAACCAGGCCAAGGCACACUUCUUAGCAACAUGGUUACCUGGUAACCAGAGAUUUUUCUCAUCCCAUGAGAGAUUUCAUUCAAGAACUGAUCUUCUAACAGUUUUGUCUCUCUUAAGAAUGCUACAGACAGGGUGGGGUGAGGCACAGUGCUGAAGCCCCUCAAGUUUCCCAGAGGGAUGAGUCCAUGAAAGACGAAAAUCAUGUGGUCACACUGAGCAUAGACUUCACAAGCAUCAUGCUAGGAUUCCAUUUUCUUUCUCAACACAAUGAUAAAUUCUUCUUCCAAUAAGCAGAAAAUCAUCCAAUGGGAAAAAAAAAUAAAACCAACUAACUUGCAGUCCUUUGGAACAGUUUCAUAGCUUACAGGAUGGCUUCAUAACCCUGGGGACACUCGUUUUGACAUGAAAACUUCCUUCAGAACAGGAAUUCUGAUCCAACAUGUGCUCAGACAUCAUUUCAGUCACUUGCAAAUGAACAAGAAAGCUCAUGUAAAUGAGGAGGCUCAACUCCCAGGCCUGGUGAGUGGGUAAGACAUUCCUCUGCUGGGUUUUGAAGGCUGUCUGAAACCAUCGGCUGACAUCCUUCUCUGUGUGCAUGUAUGCACUAUCUACGGGAAAUUCAGCUCCAACCGGUUGUCUCUACAGCUCCCUUAAUCUUCUCCUCCCUCCUCCUGGCAUUGGCAUGUGUCCCAGGACUGCAGCGAGGAGUGCUUACCAACAAAGGUGCUGGCAUCUGCAUUUGUUUCACAGCCACAAACCUAAUGGUUCCAUGAUUUUGGCGAGCAAAACUGUCAAAAUGCCUGAGCACAAGAGAUCACAAGAUGAGCCAAGGCAUAGUGUGCAUGCCUUCCUUCCCAGCACUCGGAAGGCAGAGGCAAGGGGAUCUCUGUGGGUUCAAGGCCAGCCUGAAUCACAAGGUGUACUGGGGAUUCUUUUUUAUUGUUUUCCUUUUGCUAUCUGGAAUAGUUUGAGAUUGUAUUUGAUCAGUGCAUUAAACAAC
rnacentral:lncRNA from 1 species